rnacentral:lncRNA from 1 species
UGAUUUAUUUCAUAAUUUUUGAGAUUGUUUGGGUUGACUUUUGGAUGAAGUCUUGCUGUUGACCUAUUUGUGCUCUUUCUUGCCAUGCUUUGCAUUCUUUUGCAUAUGAAAUGACAAUGAUGCAUGAUUUGAUUAUGAAUCCAAUUGAGAUUGCUUCUUAAAUGUUUGAACAUGAAUUGGGUUGACUUUCCUUUGCUGUUUGACUUUUUUCUUUCACCCUUGACCCUAGGCUAGUCCUAGUGGUCUUCUGAGCUUACAAUUGAGCUAUUGUUUCAGGUUAAGUACCAGUGCUUCAAAGAUCAUUCAAAUUUGAUUGAGUUGAAUUGUUUAUCAUGUGCUAACCCU